GCUCCUCCUCGAAAGCCUUGAACAGUGAGUUGAAGUUGCCGGCUCCAAAACCCUGUGGCGGGAAAGAGAGGAGAUGAGCCAAGGACCCAGAAAACCGAGUGUGCUAGCUGCCUGUCCCCUCGGGCCUGCCGGGGACAAGCAGUACCUGGUGGUUGUGGCGCUGGAUGACUUCCAGGAAGAGCGUGGGCCGGUCCUGCACCGGUUUGGUGAAGAUCUGCAGGAGGUAGCCUUUCUCGUCGUAGUCCACCAGGAUUUUCAGCUCCUAGGCGGGAGACAGGGGGCUCUGCUAGGGGAGGCUGGCACGGCGCUGGCUCAUUGAUGGGCAUCUUGAUGGACUCUUCAUAGUUGGCCACCACAAUGGAUCGCAGAGAGCUAUAUUCCGUGUGCACCUGCGUGUCAUCCACGGACCAGAAGCGGUGGAACUGCAGGUUUUUCAGGGCUCCCGCAUGAUUUUGGCGCCCCGUUCCCGUGCUUUCUGCAGAGAAGAUGGGAUCGGGGAAUUGGUGAGGGCUGGAGCCUUCCAGAACCCUUGCCUGCUGCUCCUGCCUGGUGGCCUCUGCGUGGUCCUGCAGGCCCCUCCAGUUUCUCCAGCCCCAGGUAGGAACCCCAGCCAGCUUCAGCCAUUACCCCCAAUACUCAUGCUCAUUUGGCAAAUAGGGAAACUGAGGCCCAGGCCCAGAGUUGGGGCUAUGGGAGACAAACUAGGUAGGGAUGGGUGUCUGUCCUGCCUCUGCUAACUCCCCCUGUGAUCAGUCCCCUUCUCUAGUCCUCAAUUUCACCAUCUGUAAAAAGAAUGGUUGGAUGAGAAUAAUAAGAAGAUUCAUGCAUUUAUUUAGCAAAACUGGACUGCAUGACAGUGCUUAUAUCAUGCACCAGGCUCUGUUCUAGAUUCUAACCUCGUUCAUCCUCACAGCAACAUUAUGCAAAAGUACUAUUAUCAUCUCCAUUCUCUAGGUGAGGACGUUGAAGCACAGAGACAUUAAGUCACUUGCCCGAAGUCACACGGCUAAGAUUCAGACCUGGAGAGCCUGGCUCUGGAACGCACACUCUGAAUCUGUAGGCUGCCUGUUGGGUACAGUGUUUGGUUUAGAGUUGUGCUCAAGAAACAGUAAUUCUGAGGCCAGGCAAAAUGGCUCAUGCCUGUAAUCCCAGCACUUUAGGAGGCCGAGGUGGGUGGAUCACUUGAGGUCAGGAGUUCAAGACCAGCCUGGCCAAUAUGGCAAAACUCCAUCUCUACUAAAAUACAAAAAUUAGCUGGGCAUGGUGGCAGGCGCCUGUAAUCCCAGCUACUCGGGAGGCUGAGGCAGGAGAAUCGCUUGAACCCAGGAGGUGGAGGUUGCAGUGAGCCAAGAUUGCGCCACUGCUCUCCAGCCUGGGCAACAGAGCAAGACUCUGACACACACACACACACAAAAGAAAGAAAAAGAAAAUGAAAAAAGAAAAAAAAGGAAAUGACCAGCCUGACCAACAAGGAGAAACCCCAUCUCUACUAAAAAUACAAAACUAGCCGGGCGUGGUGGCGCAUGCCUGUAAUCCUAGCUACUUAGGAGGCUGAGGCAGGAGAAUUGCUUGAAUCCAGGAGGCAGAAGUUGCGGUGAGCCGAGAUCGUGCCAUUGCACUCCAACCUGGGCAACAAGAGCAAAACUCCGUCUCACAAAAAAAAAAAAAAAAAAAAAAGGAAAUGGUAAUUCUAAUUUCCUCCUUUGACAACCCAGCUGUGGUUAGCCCCAUCUGGCAGCUGUGGAAACUGAGGCUCAGUGAGAGAGAGGACACGGGGGAAGGCAGGGCACCCCCGGAGCCCAGGUGUGUGUCACACCAGCAUCUGGGCUUGUCACUGUGAUGCAGCAUCUGGGCUUGUCACUGUGAUGCAGCAUCUGAGCUUGUCACUGUGAUGUGGCAUCUGGGCUUGUCACUGUGAUGCAGCAGUGUCCUUCCAGCCCUGACUGAUGGGGUCCCCAUGGCAGACGGAGGCCUUCCUCUCUCAGUCCACCCAGGUGCUUUCUUACCUGCACGAUGUAGUCACAAUCUUCCACCUCGAACGCAAUGUCCUUCACUCCGUCACCGUGUUUCACCAGGUGAUCGCCCAUCUCUGUGGCCGGCAGGGAGAGGAUGGCACUGGAGUCUGGAGUCUAGGUCCCCUCACCUGGCUUUUAGUCUCCAUCCAGGCCCUGAACCCAGAGCCCACCCACGGAGCCAUGCGUCCACCCUCCCAGAACCCAGAUCCCACCCACAGAGCCAUGCGUCCACCCUCCCCGGGCACCUCACCUUUGUUCCAGGGGUUGAGCGCUGAGGAGAGGACAAACACAAUCUAAGAUAGGAGGAGAAGGAGGUGAGGCUAGUGGCUCAGGGGGGCAUGGGGAGGUGCACCCAUCGGCCCCUCCCUGCCGACCCGAAACACCCCUGAUGGAGCACAAGAACUCCUGGACCUGGGUUCUAGCUCCUUCUCUGCCUUAGUUUCCCACACUGGUCCUGAGGGAUGGGGCUUUCAGCCAGACCCCCUCUGGAUCCUCAGAGGAACUGCUAGGUCAGGUCUCCCUCGGGGAGAGAACUCCAGGGACCCCAUCGGUCAGGGCACUGCUUAAAAUUCCUCUCCUCUGAUAUCCCAGGUUUUCUGAGCACCUGUGGGGUCAGUGUUGGGCCAGGCUGAGGAGGAAACGAAACUAGGAAGGGCCGUGUUGCAUGGCUGUACAAAGAUGCCAGCGGAGGGGUCGGUGGGAGCUGAAUUAUAUGUUUUUGUUGUUGUUGUUGGGGUUUUUUGUUGUUUUUUGUUUUUUUUUGUUGAGAUGGAGUCUUGCUCUGUCGCCCAGGCUGGAGUGCAGUGGCACGACGUUGGCUCACUGCAACCUCUGCCUCCCGGGUUCAAGCGAUGUGCCUGCCUCAGCCUCCUGAGUAGCUGGGAUUACAGGUGCCCACCAUCAUGCCCAGCUAAUUUUUCUAUUUUUAAUAGAGAUGGGGUUUCACCAUGUUGGCCAGGCAGGGGUUGGGGGCUGUCCUGGGGGUGGUGACUCACCUUCCCUUGUUUGAUUACAUGGCUGACCACCUCCCGGGAACCGGUCUCCAGGCCCCUGUAGGCUAGAGGUUCAAAGCCCAUCUUGCUGCAGUAGAAUGACGUGGCCUGAAUCACAGGGUUGCAGCAGGGUUCAUGAGGGUCAAGGGGCCAGCAUGGGGGACUUCCGCAAGAGAGCCCCUGGCCCCCCUCAGCCUGCCUGCCCUAUUGCCUCAGGGGCAGAGACCCUCCUGGGAAGAUAGACUGCUGCCUGCACAUUUUGCUGACAGAUAACUUUCCCGCUGGUGUAAUUAGGAUUCAGAGUAUCUGGCCCACCCCUGGCCUGAUCCUCCCUCCCAAGGGCCAAUCACAGACCCUGCUGGAGGCCUGCCCUUGUCAGGCAGCCCUCUGCCCUGCCGUCUGCUCACUCCAGCACCUUGCCCCGGCUUCUACCUGCUUGGCGUUGCCAACCCAGAAGGUCACAGAGUGGAAGUGGAGGAAUCGGCCUCUCUCAGGCUGCAGAAGGAGAGAAGAGGUGAGGUUGAGUCCCUGAAAGUGAGUCUAGAAAAGUGCGGGUGGAGUGAUGUCCCCUAGCCACCCUCCUUAUUCCAGCCUCAACCACAGAACUUAGGAGCAGCGGAACCCCAUGCAGCCUUGCCAAGCCUCAAAAGAGGUUUCUCAUGUGGAAGUUGAGCUCCUGGGUGUCUUGGAUGGGGAAACCCCCUCAGGAGGCCUGCCAAGGUUUCACACAGGGAAAUAGACUUAUGUUGCAGCAAUAUGGAUUUAAGUUAGACCUUAGAAAGAACUUCCAGAUGGGAUUAAAAGAUUGGCAGGCAUUUGAGAAGGGGUACAGGUUUUGUUUUGGUUUUUGUUUCUGAGAUGGAGUUUUGCUCUAUUGCCCAGGCUGGAGUGGAGUGCAGUGGUGCAAUCUUGGCUCACUGCAACUUCCGCCUCCCAGGUUCAAGCGAUCCUAGGGUUCAAGUGAUCUCCCCCACCUUAGCCUCCUGAGUAGCUGGGAUUACAGGGGUGCGCUACCAUGCCCGGCUAAUUUUCGUAUUUUUAGUAGAGACGGGGUUUCCUCAUGUUGACCAGGCUGGUCUCGAACUCCUGACCUCAAGUAUUUGCCUGCCUUGGCCUCCCAAAGCACUGGGAUUACAGGCAUGAGCCACCAUGCCCGGCCAGGAUACAAGUUUGUUGUGAGGGUGAGGUUGAGUCCAGCUCAGUCUCGGGGAGCCCCGGGGGUAAAGCUGAGUGUGCAGGCAUGCACGUCAUGUAUCCACUCCAGUCCUUCCUCUUCUGCUCUCUGCUGAAACCCCAGUCUCCCUGCACUCCGACCCCCUUCUAGACUCAGGCCCCUACAUUUCCCACAUUUCGCCUGCUUACCUUUGCCCCUUUGUCACUGUAAGUCGUCUAAGGAGAAAAAGAAGGACAGUGAGACUUGGAGGUUCCAACACAAGGUGCUUCUGGAAGCGUUACUGAAGAUGUCCCACCCAAGGGGAGAUGGCCAUGGCACUUACCAUGAUUGAUCUUAGUCAAACCUCCUACUGGGACUAGAGGCCUGGGGAGUGCUGGGCCGGAGUAUUUAACCCCAAGCAGGUCCCGCCCAGGCCUCCUGGCCUACCUGGGGGAUGGGGUGGGGAGCUGAGCCCAGCCCUGGAAGGUUCCAGGCCUGGGGACCUCUGAUCCAGCCGCAGCCUCAUUGAACAGGAUGGUGUUGCCAGGCCCAGAGAGGGGCAGUGACGUCCACUAGUCAGUGGGAGGCAGAGUCAGGGCCAGAAGCCAAGGGCAAGCUUUUCCAGGACGCUGGGAAUGUGACCAUUACUGCCCAGAAUCCAAAGCUCAGAAGCCAAGGCCGGCUGGAGUGCAGUGGCGGCUCCAGAACUCUUGCCUAGAGGAAAUUUGAGGGGGCAUUUGGAGACUGGCCCCAAAGUCCUGUUUGCGUCACAGCGUUGUAUUCCAUAGCUCUGAGAGGCACGGCAGGAGAAGGUUUGCAUCCUGGCUCUGUUACAUACAGUGUGACUUGGGAAAAUCACCAUAUCCCUUUGAGCCUCAUUUGUAAAACAGGAAUGAGAAUAGUGUGGUGGGGAUUAAAGGAGAUAAGCACGCUCUUUGGAACAGGACCUGGCACACAGGACACUCUCAGUGUUGGUUAUAAUUCAUUGGGACAGAGAACAUUCCUAGGCCAUGAGGUCAGCAAGCGGCAGGGAAGAACUGGAACAUGAACCGGGCUAUUCUAACUCCAGGACCCACACUUUAAAUUGCUAGAUUGCCCUCUAUACAAAUGGGAGAUAUUGAUAUCCCCAUCAGAUGGGGAAACUGAGGCCUGGAGAGGUGAACACAUGUCUCCCAGGUCAUGGAACUGGUAAGAGCAGAGCCCCAAACUCUGGCCUGUUUGAUUCUGAAGUUGGAUCUCAUUGCACCAGUGCAGACCACUUCUCCCUCCUUUUCUCUAUUUUCUGGGCCAUUCAGGAGGCAGGCAAGGUGGUCCCACCCCCUUAUUCUGCCUGUCCUGGGCCUGCCCAGUGUGCUCCCAGUGUCCACCUCAGCUCCUUAAGUCUAAAUUUCCAACUGGGGGCCGGGGGUGGUGGCUCACGCCUGUAAUCCCAGCACUUUGGGAGGCCAAGGAGGGAGGAUCACUUGAGGCCAGGAGUUUGAGACCAGCCUGGCAACAUGGUAAAACCUCAUCUCUACUAAAAAUACAAACAUUAGCUGGGCACGGUGGUGCACGUCUGUAGUCCCAGCUACUCAGGGGACUGAGGCAGGAGGAUCACUUGAACCAAGGAGGCAGAGAUUGCAGUGAGCAGUGAUCAUGCCACUGCCCUCCAGCCUGGGUGACAGAGUGAGACUCCAUCUCAAAUAAAUAAAUAAAUAUCCAACUGGGAAAACUUGAGUGGAGGUGGCCCAGGGUGGAUCUCACAGGCCCAGAAGGUUCCCAUGGAGGAGAAGAGCUCUGUGUAGCCUGCCUAUCCCCUCCAGGCCAGCAGGAACAUCUUGUCACUUUGAUUGCUGUGGCCAACUCAAACCCCCACUCCUGGAGCCUGCCCUGGCUUAUAUGCUAAGCACAAAGGCCAAUGUUUACUAACUCAAGGAAGUGUGUCAACAGCAGUGGGUUGCAAAGGCUGGCAGGCAUCUAGAGGUAGGAACUCUGUCCCCAACACUGUAGGUCUCAGUCCCAUGCUGGGUGCACCCCUAGAUGCCAUUCACAUGUCUGGGCAGAGAGCAGGGAGGCAAGCCUGCAGGGCCCAGUAUCCAGAGUCCCCUCCCUGAUGCUCUCUGUUCAGGCUGGGCUCCACUGGAUAACAGAUCAGCAGUGGCUGGGUGUGACUGUCUCUGUUCUUCAUGCCCGACCAUGCAGAGGUGGGUUCCAGAGGCCUUGCUCAAGAAGCUCACUGAUCAGAUGGGUUCAUAGGACGCAUCCUUGAAAAUACCCUGGUGUGCAGAAAAGCAUUCACCUAGCUGGGCCUGGUAGUGAGCACCUGUAGUCCCCAGCCACUCAGGAGGCUGAGGUGGGAGGAUCACUUGAGUCCAGGAGUUAAAGGUUGCAGUGAGCUAUGAUCACGCCACUGCACUCUAGCCUGGGGAACAGGGUGAGAACUUGUAUCAAAAAUAGAUAAGGCAGGGCCCAGUGGCUCACACCUGUAAUCCUAGCACUUUGGGAGGCCGAGGAGGGAGGAUCACUUGAGGUUAGGUGUUCGAGACCAGCCUGGCCAACAUGGUGAAACCCUAUCUCUACUAAAAAUACAAAAAUUAGCCUGGAUGCAGUGGCUCAUGCCUAUAAUCCUAGCACUUUAGGAGGCUGAGGCGGGUGGGUCACCUGAGGUCAGGAGUUUGAGACCAGCCUGACCAAUAUGGUGAAACACCGUCUCUACUAAAAAUACAAAAAUUAGCUGGGCAUGGUGGCAGGCACCUGUAGUCCCAUCUACUUGGGAGGCUGAGACAGGAGAAUUGCUUGAACCCAGGAGGUGGAGGUUGCAGUGAGCCGAGAUCAUGCCACUGCACUCCAGCCUGAGCAACAGAGUAAGACUCUGUCUCAAAAAAAAAAAAAAAAUUAGCUGGGUGUGGUGGUGUGUGCCUGUAAUCCCACCCAGCUACUUGGGAGGCUGAGGCAGGAGAAUCACUUGAACCCAGGAGGUGGAGGUUGCAAUGCGAGAUUGUGCCACUGCGCUCCAGCCUGGGCGACAGAAUGAGACCCUGUCUCAAAAUAAAGAAAUAAGUAAGUAAGUAAGUAAAUAAAAUGGAACAAGUCUCAGUUACUGAUAGUUCUUACUAUAGUGUUUGCUAAUAUUACAGCUUCUGGAAAAAAACAUGAAAAAGAGGCAAUCUCUAAAUGGAGAUACACUUUCAGGGUUUUAAAAAGCAGUUUUUAGUUGCUAAUGAGCCCUUGUGAAACCACACAGCUGACCCUUAGAGUCAUGAUUUUCUAGCUGAUAGGGAUCUUUUUACAGGCGUCCACCCGGGCUCUGAAACUGACAGACUUAAAGGGCUUAAGAAAGCCUCGCUUCGCUCUUAGCCUCGAGACAAACAGUCUCUUGGCUUAGCUACUGCAGAAGAAAAUCCUGAAUUCACGAAUUCUAGUUUUCCAAACCUGAUCCCAAGCUGAAAGCUCUGCAAGGGGACGGUUGCUUGAGCCCAAGAGGUCGAGGCUGCAAUGAGCUAUGAUCGCACCACUGCACUCCAGCCUCGGUGACAGAGUGAGACCCUGUCUUAAAAAAAGAGAAAAAAAAAUGCUGAAACCUGAUGCUGUCUGCUGUGAGCUGUUUCAGUGUCAGCAUGAAUUCUGCCAAACUAAAAAAAUGGGCAAAAUUGCUCCACUCAACACACAGGACUUUAACUCUAGGACCCUGGCAGAUUAGAGACAUCCCUCCCUGGGGCCAUAUGCUGUGCAAACAUCGUGGAUGCUGCUGGACAGUGUGGGUCACUUACAGAUGUCCAUGAUGAAAGAGUUCCUCUCUAAUGGGACCAUUUACAUUGGGCUGCUCUUCAGCUCUGCAUUUCUUUUUUUUUUUUUUUUGAGACGGAGUCUCGCUCUUGCUGCCCAGGCUGGAGUGCAAUGGUGCGAUCUCGGCUUAUUACAACCUCCGCCUCCCAGGUUCAAUCGAUUCUCCUGUCUCAGCAUCCCAAGUAGCAGGGAUUACAGGCAUGUGCCACCACGCCCAGCUAAUUUUGUAUUUUUAGUAGAGAUGGGGUUUCACCAUGUUGGUCAGGCAUGUCUCGAACUCCUGACCUCAGGUGAUCUGCCCACCUCGGCCUCCCAAAGUGCUGGGAUUACAGGCGUGAGCCACCGCUCUCGGCCUUUUUUUUUUUUUUUUUUUUUUUUUUUUUGAGACAGAGUCUCCCUCUGUGGCCCAGGCUGGAGUGCAGUGGCGUGAUCUUGGCAUCUCGGCUCAAUGCAAGCUUUUUUUUUUUUUUUUUUUUUUUUUAGGCUGGAGUGCAAUGGUGCAAUCUCGGCUCACUGCAAGCUCCACCUCCAAGGUUCACGCCAUUCUCCUGCCUCAGCCUCCGGAGUAGCUGGGAAUACAGGCACCUGCCACCUGGCUCAGCUAAUGUUUUGUAUUUUUAGUAGAGAUGAGGUUUCACCGUGUUAGCCAGGAUGGUCUCAAUCUCCUGACCUCGUGAUUCGCUCGCCUUGGCCUCCCAAAGUGCCGGGAUUAUAGGCGUGAGCCACCGCGCCCGGCACCCCCCCUCCUUUUUUUUUUUUUAAGAUGGUCUUGGGAUGUCUCCCAAGCUGAAGUGCAAUGGCGUGAUCUCUGCUCACUGCAACCUCCGCCUCCUAGGUUCAAGUGAUUCUCCCGCCUCAGUCUCCCAAGUAGUUAAGACUACAGGCAUGCGCCACCACACCAAGCUAAUUUUUGUAUUUUUUAUCAGAGACAGGGCUUCGCCAUGUUGGCGAGGCUGAUCUCGAACUCUUGGCCUCAGGUGAUCUUCCCGCCUCGGCCUCCCAAAGUGCUGGGAUUACAGGCGUGAGCCACUGCGCCCAGCCAGCUCUGCAUUUCUGGUGCUGAUUCCUUCCUAACUUGUGAUUCCUGCCCAAAGCAACAAGCCGAGAGAGGGUACAUCACAGGGACCGUGAUCCUUCCACGCACUCCUUCAGACUGGACUCUCAAAACUCCCCACCAAAUGUUUCACUGCAGUUGAUCGUUGUGUCUGACUUUCUCAAUUCGUUGCAAUUUGCAACAAUGGACUAAUAGCCUGAUUCUCCUUCCCGCAUCUUUGUCCUGACGUACUCACCUUAGUAAGGCUGUCUGUUAAAUGCAACUGUCCCUCAAAAGGCAUUAUUUCUUCUAUGCUGCUCACUACAGAAAUGAUCAGAAUGAAAAGCAUUGGUGGCGAGCCAGGAGCAGUGGCUGACACCUGUAAUCCCAGCACUUUAAGAGGCUGAGAUGGGGGGAUCCCUUGAGCCCAGGAGUUCAAGGGUACAGUGAGCUAUAAUUGCACCACUGCACUUCAGCCUGGGCAGCAGAAUGAGACCCUGUCUCUAAAAGAAAAAAAAAAAGAAAGAAAAGGGUGGAGAGUUAUAUAAGCCCAUUUUGGAAAUUUGUGAAAAUCCAGGAUUUUGCCCCUUCCACUUCCUGAACCUGAAAUGAAGCUUUCUGGUUAAGUUGUAUAAAAAUGUUUUUCUGUGAAAAGGUUUUUGUCCCUCUUGGCUGGGCACGGUGGCUCAUGCCUGUAAUCCCAGCACUUUGGGAGGCCAAGGCAGGCAGAUCAUUUGAGGUCAGGAAUUUGAGACCAGCCUGGCCAACAUAGCGAAACCCUGUUUCUACUAAAAAUACAAAAAAAAAAAAAAAAAAAAAAAUUAGCUGGGCAUGGUGGUACACACCUGUAAUCCUAGCUACUCAGGAGGCUGAGGCAGGAGAAUCACUUGAACCCGGGAGGCAGGGUUCAUUGAGCUGAGAUCGUGCCACUGCACUCCAGCCUGGCGACAGAGCAAGACUCUGUCACACAAAAAAAAGAAAAAAUAUCUUAUUAAAGCCAGGUACAGUGGCUCAUACCUGUAAUCCCAGCACUUUGGGAGGCGGAGGCAGGAGGAUCACUUGAGGCCAGGGGUUCAAGACCAACCUGGGCAACCUAGUGAGACCCUGUCUCUACAAAAAGUUUAAAAAGUAGCCGGCUAUAGUGGUGCAUGCCCGUAGUCCCAGCUACUCAGGAGGCUAAGUGGGGAAGAUCUCUUGAGCCCAGGAGCUUAAGACUGAAGUGAGCUAUGAUUGUACCAUUGUACUCCAGCCUGGGCAACAGAGGGAGGCCCUGACUAUUAAAAAAAAAAAAAAAAUGGCCGGGCGCAGUGGCUCACGUCUGUAAUCCCAGCACUUUGGGAGGCCAAGGCAGACGGAUCACGAGGUCAGGAGAUCGAGACCAUCCUGGCUAACAUGGUGAAACCCCGUCUCUACUAAAAAUACAAAAAAUUAGCCAGGCAUGGUGGCAGGCGCCUGUAGUCCCAGCUACUUGGGAGGCUGAGGCAGGAGAAUGGAGUGAACCCGGGGCGCGGAGCUUGCAGUGAGCCAGGAUUGCACCACUGCACUCCAGCCUGGGCGACAGAGUGAGACUCCGUCUCAAAAACAACAACAACAACAACAACAACAACAAAAAACUCCUGUUAUAGACAAUACCCACAUUAAUUCCCAUCCUCAAUUUUAAGGCUAUUAUCACUUCCACUGGUUCAUCUUAGGGUAGAAAAUAUUAUAAACGUCUGGGCAUAUUGGCUCACGCCUGUAAUCCCAGCACUUUGGGAGGCUGAGGUGGGUGGAUCACUUGAGGUCAGGAGUUCGAGACCAGCCUAGUCAACAUGGUGAAACCCCGUCUCUACUAAAAAUACAAAAAUUAGCUGGGCAUGAUGGCGGGCACCCGUAGUUUCGGCUACUCGGGAGGGUGAGGCAGGAGAAUCGCUUGAACCUGGGAGUCGGAGGCUGCAGUGAGCUGAGAUCAUGCCAGUGCACUCUAACCUGGGCGACACAGCGACACUCUCUUUCUUUCUUUCUUUCUUUCUUUGAGACAGAGUUUCGCUU
rnacentral:lncRNA from 1 species